AACGUUAAAAACUUUUACUUGUAAUGUAAUUAAAAUGUUGUUUUUAUCCCUUAAUUGCCAAAAAUAUAAAAAAAUUCUUACAUUCAAAAUUACAUUUUUUUGUUAAAAAUCUACCUGUAACGAAUGUAGUUUCUCAAAUUGAAAAGGCCAUUUCAAAUCUACAGUUUCAUCUUAUGGAUGCAAAAAGUGAAGAAAUUGAAAAUCAUUACAGAAAUUGUCAUUAAUCAUAAAUUAAUUGACAUUGCAUCAUUAGAGAAUUAGACCUCUGUAAUAUAGAUGCUUACUGCCGUGGCUGUCUAUGUGUUCUGUUUCUAACUAUUUUGUUGAGUCUUCUCACAGUUCAUCUGCAUAUAAAUCAGACUAAGAAAAUAUCAAACCAAGCCUUGCAUGCAGUUAUUUGGAUCAAAUCAUAUUUAAUAAGGCAAAAGAAUUUUUACUAGGACUUUGAAAUAAUUGAGUCAAUUAUUGCAAAGGUUUGAAAAGAAAUCUAUAUCCAUAUGCAAGCGAAAAAAAUUUAUAUAUUUUACAGGUUGAUAGUGUCAGAUUUUGUAUAGGUGUUUGGGAGUAAACUACUUUCCUCACGCCGCUUUGAAGGCUGGAUGGGCGUCCCAUUAAACAUUCACUAAGUCAUUCUUCUCCUCUUUCCUCACUCUCUUACAAAUUAAAUUUUAAUAUUCAAGGAUGAAAUUUUUGGAUAAAAAAGCAUUUUUUCAAAAUAUAUAUUAUAAACAAGGCUUUAAAACAAAAAACUAUGAUUUUUUUUUUUUGGUCUGGUUUAUUUCUGGUUUAUUUUUGUUUCAUUUUUGGCUUGUGCGCGAAAAAAAACCUGGCAACCCUGUGCUAAAUACACUUUAAAAAAAAAACACUUAGUUGCAAAAAAUAUGUCAGAGCUAGAGGUUGUUGUUGAAAAUGUUUGCAAAGUUAAUGAUCUCAAGUGUGGACCAUAUCCUCGUUUAAAUGAACAAAGGUUAUUCAAGAUACAAGAUCUGACAUUAGAUGUCAAAGCACACUUUGUAAAAAUCAAAGCUUUAAAGAGACACCAAGAGACGGAAUGGACAGAAAAAUCACUUAUAGAAAACCGAGGGUGCAUAUCAAUUUCUGAUAACGACUAUAUAUGCCCUUACCAUAGAUUUAACUUUGGUAUUGAUUGGGUUCCUCCAAGGAAGAUGCUGUCAUCCAAUGCAUAAAUUAAGUGUUGGUAAAAAAUCAUUUGCUGUAAGAAGUAUUUCAAUAAAUAUGUCAACAAAUGUUUCAAAACAUUACGACAAAAGUGUUCCAGUAGGUUCCGUAUUUUGUCACAACCACCGAAAGUCAGAGCGCAUUCUAAAUCAAACUAAAACAAGUACUGUCGCUAACGAAGAGCUAGUUGAAGACACAACUGAUUUUAAUUUUGAGCCUGAAGAAAUUUUACUUGCUGGAGAAAAAGUUGAAGGUGCUACAAUUACUGGUAACAACCUAUCAGUUGCACUUCACAUCAGCCCUUUUCAGUUUCAGAUAAUAAACAAAAAGAGGUCUGAUCUCAGCAAUGGAACAAAAAAUAAUUUACGAAGAAAAUUUGAAAGAGCCAAGGUACAGCUUGAAAAGAGGUUUGCUGAAGCUGUUGUCCCAGAUCAGAGUGAAGACUUUAUCUCAAUUGUUUUAAAAAGAUCUUUGGAAGCUUCAGACAUUGAUGUAGUACCUGAUGAUCUAAAAAAGUUGGUUGAAGUUUAUGAAGAAAGUGACUCUAUGGGAAAACAUAUUGUUCUGUGCUUGAUUAAACAUGAAAAAUUUACUUAGAAGUUGCUAAUGAAAGUUUUCAGGUGCUCCAAAUACAAGAUAGACCAGGUACGAAAAAUGAAAAAUGCAAACAUAGGUAUAACUAUUCCUGUCGAAAAAGAAUUACGCGAAAUAGGCUAGACCAGAAAAAAGCUGAACAUUUCCUCGAUUUCAUAUUUAACAGCGGCUUUCUUCAAGAUAUUGCAUAUGGAGUUACAAAAAUUAAAUUUGACUCAAAUGAUCUAUAUAAAAUAUCUCGUACAAUUUUGACAAUUAAAAUCAGUCAUACAAUUGCAUUUUAUAAUGAAGUUUGCAGAAAUGAGAAUUAUUCUCCUUUAUCGCAUAGCAGUUUGUGGCGAAUACUUCAUGCUGUUAAACCAUCUCAACAAAAAUGUUUAGCGGGACUGGAUGAUAUUACUGCUGCAGGUAUGAAUGAUUUCUCUAUGAUGCAAGAUUUAUCUUUGAAGUACAAGGAUAGAGAGCUGAGUAUUAUGUUUGAACGUAGCAAACGAUAUUACAAAACUAGUUUCCAGUUUAAUUGCAGUGCGACAUACCUUGAUUCUAUCUCCCACUGCCCAAUAUUUGCUUUGAGUGAGACAAAAGAUUGAUUUCAAUAACACCGAAUGAUAAGAUUUGUUAUGAGUGUGAAAAUUGAAGAAAUCCUUAGUUGAACUAAAAAGAUUAGCAUCAAAUAAUUCAGUCGACGAGGAUAAUAUUUAUGAUAUUGAAAUUGCUGAAAAAGAUAUCAUUGAUUAUAAAAAGCAUUUAAUGCGUGAUUGUCAACAAAAAAAAGCCAAAGUUUUUGCUUUUGAAAGUCUUGAUGAGGAAUCUGGAUUUUGGUUGAAAGACUAUUGCCAAAAAGUUCUACCAACCAAAUUCAGGGAAGGUCAAAAGGAAUAUUUUGGAAAAAAGGGGAUGUCACUGCAUGUAGACAUUUUCUUUACUAAGAAAAACAACGUUUUACAAAAAAAGGUGUAUUUUACAGCUCUUUAUAGGUGUGAGCAAAGUUUAUCGGAAACACUAUCAAUUAGUUCUUCCAAAGUUUAAGCAUGACCAUUCUGGUAUUAAUAAACUCUAUGCAAAUUCUGACUAUGCUUAAUCGUAUCAUGGAAACUUUAUAAUGGAAGCUCUUUUUAUGUUGCGCGAAAAUAACCAAAUACAGCUUAAGCGCUACGAUUAUAACGAACCUUGUCGUCGCAGGGAUCAAUGCGACAGAGAAGCUGCCGGAGCAAAGUCAUUGUUUCGUAGCUUUGUUGAUGCUGGUAACGAUUUAAUGUGUGCAGAGGACAUUUAUACUGCUUUACAUUACGGCCAUGGGAUGAAAAAUUCUGCUGUUGGUGUUGCCACUAUAAAGGGCAAAAGCAAGUUGAGUGGAACAAAAAUAGCUAAAAUAAGUCAGUGCCAUUCGUUUGAGUUUUUUCAAAACUAUAUGACGAUGUGGCGAUACUAUACAGUUGGCGAUGGAGUUAUUCAAGUAUAUUCUAAUGUCUAUUUUGAUCUGCAAAUGUUUUUAACACAACUAUAUAGUGAUACUGGCAAGAAAACACGAGUUUUUAAGGACAAUAUAAAGAAAAAAUUCGCGAAGAUAGAUCAUUAAAUUUGUUUCACGUUUGCUCUGAGCCUAUUUGUAAUGGAUCAUUACAUACAUCAGAAGAACUAGAAGAACAUAUGAUAUCGGGAAGGCACAAUAUCAGCACUUUAAAAUCAGGAAUGGAUAACGUGAGACAGAGUUUCAUAAUGAAGAUGCAAGCUCAGUCAAACUUACAUAGUUAUAAACCAAACUCAACAGGAAGUAUUUGAAGAAGUAUGCUCUGACAUUAGCAAAUAUUUUAAAGGCUGGUUUUUUCACAUUCAAGCAGUACCUACCGAUAUAGUUUGAGACAAGAAGAUAUAUUAUAUAAACUCUUUAUGGAAGGUGAAGUAUCAGGAAAAAAAGUCUCAGAAUACGUAACAACUCAGCAAAUAAGAUCACUAUUUUCACGUUGGAGCAGGCUAAAAAAAGACAAAAGAUUAAGGGAACCAAUUGAUGUUGGUAGUACUAAUGUGGAUAACGAAGAAAAAGAAGAGAUCAAGAUCCCAAUCAAGAUCAAGAAGAAUUAGCAAAUGAAGAAUUUGAAAAGGAAUUUAUAAGAAUUGCCAUUGAUUUAUCUUGUGCAUGGCAUGAAAACGAUUGGAUUGUUGUUAUUUAUAAGGGCAAUUGGUAUCCUGGUAUUAUAAAUGAGGUUCUCAGUGAUGGUUACAUGGUGAGCUGUAUGAAGUAUGCUUCUGUAGACAAGAACCUUUUUAAGUGGCCAGCUUUUCCUGAUGUUAUAAAGUACAAUGACAGUGAAAUCAUUUGUGGAAUUCUACCACCAUUACCGUUAAAAUAGCACGGAGACUAUAAGCUUAUAGAUGAACAAUUUAAAAAAGCACAAAAGGAAUUUCAAGCAACGAUGCAUUAAAAUCAAAGACAUAAGUGUAAAGAUUUGUA